rnacentral:rRNA from 1 species
UACGGGGGGGGCAAGCGUUGUUCGGAAUUACUGGGCGUAAAGGGCUCGUAGGCGGCCAACUAAGUCAUACGUGAAAGCCCGGGGCUUAACCCCGGGUCUGCAUUCGAUACGGGCUGGCUAGAGUGUGGUAGGGGAGAUCGGAAUUCCUGGUGUAGCGGUGAAAUGCGCAGAUAUCAGGAGGAACACCGGUGGCGAAGGCGGAUCUCUGGACCAUUACUGACGCUGAGGCGCGAAAGCCAGGGGAGCAAACGGG